rnacentral:rRNA from 1 species
GGCCUACCAUGGUGGUAACGGGUAACGGGGUGUUAGGGCACGACACCGGAGAGGGAGCCUGAGAAACGGCUACCACAUCCAAGGAUGGCAGCAGGCGCGCAAAUUACCCAAUCCCGACACGGGGAGGUAGUGACAAUAAAUAACAAUACGGGGUUCUUUCGGAUCUCGUAAUUGGAAUGAGUACAAUUUAAAUCUCUUAACGAGGAACAAUUGGAGGGCAAGUCUGGUGCCAGCAGCCGCGGUAAUUCCAGCUCCAAUAGCGUAUAUUAAAGUUGUUGCAGUUAAAAAGCUCGUAGUUGAAUUUCGGGGUUAGCAGGUCGGUCGUGCCAUUGGUAUGAACUGGCCUCGCUGAUCCCUCCCUCUUGACGAACUGUGAUGCCAUUAAUUUGGUGUCGCAGGGAAUCAGGACUGUUACUUUGAAAAAAUUAGAGUGUUUAAAGCAGGCUCACGCUUGAAUACAUUAGCAUGGAAUAAUGAAAUAGGACGUUCGAUCCUAUUUUGUUGGUUUCUAGGAUUGACGUAAUGAUUAAUAGGGAUAGUUGGGGGCAUUAGUAUUCAAUUGUCAGAGGUGAAAUUCUUGGAUUUAUUGAAGACUAACUACUGCGAAAGCAUUUGCCAAGGAUGUUUUCAUUAAUCAAGAACGAAAGUUAGGGGAUCGAAGACGAUCAGAUACCGUCGUAGUCUUAACCAUAAACUAUGCCGACUAGGGAUCGGAUGAUGUUAAUUUUUUAANGACUCAUUUGGCGCCUUACG